rnacentral:hammerhead_ribozyme from 1 species
AUGCAGCUGACGAGUCCCAAAUAGGACGAAACGUCCGUCUGGGAU